CGUGAAGAGUAGGCGUGAGUGGGUGAGGGGUGGCUAUGGAGGGACACAGUAUGAAGUUGUGCCGGGGGAGGUAUGGGCUGGAUGUUGGGAGGAAGUUCUUGGCAGAGAGGGUCGCAUUGGAAUGGGCUGCCCAGGGAGGUGGUGGAGUCUCUGUGCCUGGAGGUGUUGAAGCCAAGCCUGGCUGAGGCACUUAGUGCCAUGGUCUGGUUGCUUGGCCAUGGCUGGGUGCCAGGUUGGACCGGAUGAGCUUGGAGGUCUCUUCCAACCUAGUUGAUUCAAUGAGGACGGUGGCCGUGAACGAAAGUGAAGGAUGGCAGUGAGGAGUGGCCUUAGGAAGGUGAAGAGCAGCCAUGGGGGUGCGGUGCGAUGGCUGUGUGGUGUAACGGGUUGCUGUGGGGGGACAUGAGGAGUAAGGGGUAACAGUCACUAGGGCAGAUGAAGGCCCACAGCUACGAGGAGUGGCCCAGAGGUGCGGCAGUCACGCAGUGUGUGAGAGCCCACUUUGCAGGGAGCAGCUGACUCCCGCUGACCAUGAGGGUCCUGUCCGCUGCCAAACCCACAGCUGCCACCUACUGACCCUCAGGCCUAGAGGGCACAGAGCCAAGCAUCACUGGGAAGCCUCUGCCAACGUGGUGCCCUCUUGGGCCCCUGUCCCGGCUUCGUUGAAACGCCUCCACUUGCAUGUCACAGCAGCACGUCUGCAGAGCAAGCUGCCUCGUAACGCAGAUGGAAGUCCCAGGCAAGGGUUUUCAUAGGCACCUGCCCUCAUUUGUAAUCACUCAGCUUUCCAUUUUAACAGGAACCAAGGUGGCUUAGAAACCCCCAAGUCUGUGGAACUGGGGAGGAAGUUUAGGAGCACUGCUUGGAGUACAAGUUUCUGGCUCUUGUUUGAGUGCUUUGGAGAAGAUAUCUUACUGGACAAAAAAAAAAUACAUACGUUGAAAAAUACUACAUUCAUUUUACUCCUCUGGGUUUCAUUUGUUGUAUGAUGGUUGUAUAACUUCUUCCCGCCCAAACGAGUUCCCUCGGAUGCUCACAGUGAAGUCCUGGUCAUUGUGUGUUACAGUUGCUGGUAAAAAUACACCUUCUUUCUUUCUUUAUUUAACCUGGCAAGAAGCCCAGCAUUCGUCUCUGCUCGCUGACACACUUUUGAAACAAAUUGCCUUGGCCUGUGUGCUGAGCUUUUAAAGGUGAUUGCCCAAAGCGGUAGCAAGUGGCCCAGCCAUUAUUUUUGUCCUGAGGGGUAUCAGUGGGUGUUGGGGGGGUCGCAAGUAAAGACCGAAGGUGGUGUGUGCUUGUGCAAUCAGCUUUGCUGUAAUGCAGUAGAAAGGGACAAGCAGCCAAAGUGUGAGUGGCUAGAAAAAGGGACAGGCAGCGAAAGUGUGACUUUUUUUGUCCCGAGGAACUCAGAAACCAAUGCUUUGAAGGGUGAAAUUCAGUGCCUGAAACAAAAAUAAACCUCCAAAGGAGCA